rnacentral:rRNA from 1 species
GUYUUUUUGUUAAAAAUUUAAAGUCGGGCCUGCCCMCUGAAAAUUUAAAUGGCCGUGGUAUUUUGACCGUGCUAAGGUAGCAUAAUCMUUAGUUUUUUAAUUGAAAGCUGGAAUGAAAGGUUUGAUAAGGAAAUGACUGUCUCUAUUUAAUUUUAUUAAAAAUUUAUUUUUAAGUUCAAAAGCUUAAUUUUAAUUAAAAGACGAGAAGACCCUAUAGAGUUUAAUAAUUUAAGAUAACUUAUAUUUUAGAAUUUAUAUAUUUAUUUUUUAUAAUUAUUUGAUUGGGGUGAUUGAAAAAUUUAAUUAACUUUUUUUAUAUUUAACCAUUAAUUUAUGAUAAUUUGAUCCAAUUUUUUUGAUUAUAAGAUUAAAUUACCUUAGGGAUAACAGCGUAAUUUUUUUAGAAAGUUCAAAUUAAAAAAAAAGAUUGCGACCUCGAUGUUGGAUUAAAAUUAAAUUUUGGUGUAGAAGCUAAAAAUUUAAGUCUGUUCGACUUUUAAAAUUUUACA